CAUGGCUCAGGAUGAACGCUAGCGGCAGGCCUAACACAUGCAAGUCGAACGGUAACAGGGAUUGCUUGCAAUCCGCUGACGAGUGGCGCACGGGUGCGUAACGCGUAUACAAUCUGCCUAUAACAGGGGUAUAGCCCAGAGAAAUUUGGAUUAACACCCCAUAGUAAGAGAGGAUGGCAUCAUUUUCUUUUUAAAACUACGGUGGUUAUAGAUGAGUAUGCGUCCCAUUAGCUAGAUGGUGUGGUAACGGCACACCAUGGCAACGAUGGGUAGGGGUCCUGAGAGGGAGAUCCCCCACACUGGUACUGAGACACGGACCAGACUCCUACGGGAGGCAGCAGUGAGGAAUAUUGGACAAUGGGGGCAACCCUGAUCCAGCCAUGCCGCGUGCAGGAAGAAUGCCCUAUGGGUAGUAAACUGCUUUUAUACGGGAAGAAUAAGGUGCUCGUGAGCACCGAUGACGGUACCGUAAGAAUAAGCACCGGCUAACUCCGUGCCAGCAGCCGCGGUAAUACGGAGGGUGCAAGCGUUAUCCGGAAUCAUUGGGUUUAAAGGGUCCGUAGGCGGAUUUUUAAGUCAGAGGUGAAAUGCUGCGGCUCAACCGUAGCACUGCCUUUGAAACUGAAGAUCUUGAGUCAUUGUGGGGCGGCCGGAACAUGUAGUGUAGCGGUGAAAUGCUUAGAUAUUACAUAGAACACCGAUCGCGUAGGCAGGUCGCCAACAAUGUACUGACGCUGAGGGACGAAAGCGUAGGUAGCGAACAGGAUUAGAUACCCUGGUAGUCUACGCCGUAAACGAUGGAUACUAGCUUUUCGGUCCGGCACAGGACUGAGAGGCCCAGCGAAAGUGAUAAGUAUCCCACCUGGGGAGUACGGUCGCAAGACUGAAACUCAAAGGAAUUGACGGGGGCCCGCACAAGCGGUGGAGCAUGUGGUUUAAUUCGAUGAUACGCGAGGAACCUUACCAGGGCUUAAAUGCAUAUUGACAGGGGUGGAAACACCCUCUCCUUCGGGCAAUUUGCAAGGUGCUGCAUGGUUGUCGUCAGCUCGUGCCGUGAGGUGUCAGGUUAAGUCCUAUAACGAGCGCAACCCCUGUGGUUAGUUGCCAGCGAGUAAUGUCGGGAACUCUAGCCAGACUGCCGGUGCAAACCGCGAGGAAGGUGGGGAUGACGUCAAAUCAUCACGGCCCUUACGUCCUGGGCCACACACGUGCUACAAUGGCCAGUACAGCGAGCAGCCACUACGCAAGUAGGAGCGAAUCUAUAAAACUGGUCACAGUUCGGAUCGGGGUCUGCAACUCGACCCCGUGAAGCUGGAAUCGCUAGUAAUCGGAUAUCAGCCAUGAUCCGGUGAAUACGUUCCCGGGCCUUGUACACACCGCCCGUCAAGCCAUGGAAGCCGGGGGUACCUGAAGUCCGUCACCGUAAGGAGCGGCCUAGG
rnacentral:rRNA from 1 species